GUAAGGGAUCUUCCGCAAUGGGCGCAAGCCUGACGGAGCGACGCCGCGUGGACGAAGACGCCUUUCGGGGUGUAAAGUCCUUUUCGAGGAGAGGAGAUGGACCGUAUCCUCGGAAUAAGCCUCGGCUAACUACGUGCCAGCAGCCGCGGUAAUACGUAGGAGGCGAGCGUUGUCCGGAAUUACUGGGUGUAAAGCGCGUGUAGGCGGUGGGUUAAGUCUGUUGUGAAAGCGCCCGGCUCAACCGGGCAGAGUCAAUGGAAACUAGCUCACUGGAGGUCGGUAGAGGCGAGUGGAAUUCCCGGUGUAGUGGUGAAAUGCGUAGAGAUCGGGAGGAACACCAGUGGCGAAGGCGGCUCGCUGGGCCGGACCUGACGCUGAGACGCGAAGGCGUGGGGAGCGAACGGGAUUAGAAACCCGUGUAGUCC
rnacentral:rRNA from 1 species